GGGGGGGGGGGGGGGUGAAGUAGUGAAAAAAAAUGAAGUAAAAAAUGAGGGUUUUGUACUAACGAUAUAAAACAUGCACACGCAAGAGUGCUAUUUCGUCAGUCUUACUGAGUCGGAGGGAGCUCUCCAGCAAGCGAUACACGGCGUGACACCGACACAGUGAAAGCACACGUGACGUAUUUUUUCGUAAAGUGCAUGCUUUAUUCUACUACGAAAAAUAGCAUGGUGUGCAGCGGACUUUACUCUCGCCUCGAGUUGGAAUUUGGAACGACACUUGUAUAUAAUUUUUUAAUGUAGUUCAACGAUCACUACACCAUCAUCGUGACGCUCAGGUCUACUACGAUAUUACAACUUCAGUAAUUUCGUGUUCAAACGUGCAUGAAGUUCCAUAACCACCGCAGGGAGUAGCAGGGAGUCGAGUUGAGGUCGCGACGAUCGCCCCCCCCCCCCCCCCCCCCAUCUUCUUCAACACAAUCGGAAUUAUUGUAAUUCAAACAAAACAUUCUCUCGCACGUUCGUUGACAAACGGACUCGUAUUCGUUAAAAAAAAAAACAUUCAUCUGAAACAUAAAGAACACACUUUGAAAUAAUAAUACUAUAAAUAAACACAAUAAAUAUGUAUAUAUGUAAAUUCUAUACAUGAAUAAUAAAAAAUAGAAAAAAAUAAAACACCUGCCUUAUUCGGAGUCAA